UACGGAGGGUGCGAGCGUCGUCCGGAUUUAUUGGGUUUAAAGGGUGCGUAGGUGGCCUAUUAAGUCAGUGGUGAAAUACAGCCGCUUAACGGUUGAGGUGCCAUUGAUACUGAUGGGCUUGAAAUAAUUGGAGGCUGCCGGAAUGGAUGGUGUAGCGGUGAAAUGCAUAGAUAUCAUCCAGAACACCGAUUGCGAAGGCAGGUGGCUACGAUUGGUUUGACACUGAGGCACGAAAGCAUGGGGAGCAAACAGG
rnacentral:rRNA from 1 species